rnacentral:rRNA from 1 species
AACGUAGGUGGCGAGCGUUAUCCGGAUUUACUGGGCGUAAAGGGCUGGUAGGCGGCCAACUAAGUCGGAUGUGAAAUCCCCAGGCUUAACCUGGGAACUGCAUCCGAUACUGGUCGGCUUGAAUCCGGGAGAGGGAUGCAGAAUUCCAGGUGUAGCGGUGAAAUGCGUAGAUAUCUGGAGGAAUACCGGUGGCGAAGGCGGCAUCCUGGACCGGCAUUGACGCUGAACAGCGAAAGCUAGGGGAGCAAACGGG